AAGCCAAUGAUAUUAAAUGUUAAUCUGGCAUUGUGUCCUGAACAAAAGGCACUGAAGUGUUCUUUCUCAUUCUAGACCACUGUUCAUGGUGCUGCAGGGAAGUAAGCUUCUGGUUUAUAUGAGUGACAUGCUGUUAUGAUCCUCAUCAUCAGCUCAGGUCUAUUAGAGGAGAACGGAAGAGGGAAAAUAGUUUUCCCAAGGAAAUCCUUUGGAUCUAGAAGUUUCUUCUAGGGAAUAUGAAACCUGGUAUCUUAGGUGAUACACUCAUCCAUGCUCAGCUUAGCUUGCUUAGCUUCUUUGGCCUGGCAGUUCCAUAGUCUUCACACUUGGUUGCAUCUGAGGUCUGGUCCUUGGUUCCUGUAUAUUCAGCAUGGACACCUCCUACCACAUGCACGUACCAUCACACCCCAGCUUACCAAGGACUGAGCACCUAGGCUUAUAUUCAAGACUUCUGUGUUUUGUCAAUUGCAGCAUCUUUGCUAUGUAUACAAAGCUUUCUGUUUUCCUAGAAGCAUGAUGAUUUAAUUAUCCUUAGUAUUUUCUUACCACCCUUCCUUAGUCUAUAAGUCUCAAAUUAGUGCAUCUUCAGAUUGUGUGUGUUAGAAUAUCUGAUUUAAAAAAAAAUUACUGUUCGAUUGGCUGAUAAGUCAAAAAAUUGCUAAAAUGAAUUGCUACAAUUUCUGAAAUGGCACUAAAAUGACCUCUGUCAUAGUUGCAUAUUUUUGAGACAUGGCAUUCUAAGCAUUGAUGAUUAUAAAAUCAAAUGAUCAGUUUCUGAAAAUGCUGAAGAUGCUGCAUGCCCGGCAUUAAGACAUUAACUCUUUAUGUGAAAGCAAAAUAAGCACAUCAAUCUCAUUCACAUACAAAAUUUCUUUUGUGUUUAAGAUUAUGUCAUAUUUUUAAAGUACAUUUCUCUAUUAUUUAUUAUGAGUGAAUGUUUGGUUUGUGUACCUAUUAUGUUAUACUAAUAUACCUCAGAAUUUCUUGGGCAGAGGCUGCCACAAUGGGCAAAGUUUAAGAAUCCCUUGGCUCUACUACCUGAAACAACCCUUGGACAAAAAAUAAUAAUAAUAAAAAAAAAAUCAUGGUUCAUUCCUGCUGGAUUCUGCUCAACUGUUUUUCAUGUUUAAAAGCAGAAGCACCAAAGACAGAAAAUGCUCGACUAAAUCUUCCGCUAUUCCUUACUGGUCAUGUGAUAUUGAAAUAGUUAUUCCAUCAGUUUCCUUACCUGUAACAUAUUAUAAUGAUGUCCACUUCAUAGAAAGAUUAAAGUGUUUAGUAUAUUGCCUGUCUAAAAUGAGAGAUCAUUAAAUGGUAUUUUUCUUGUGAGUACAUUGAAUUUAUUGUGUUUGUUACUAAAUGUAAUUCCCUACUUAAAAAUUACUUCUUACAGAAAUAUUUAGUCUGUAUUUGAAUAUCAGUUAAGAGCAUGGUGGAAACUGGUAACUGUUUUAAAAUAUUAGUAACCACUCAUAAAAUAAUGUAUAAAUUCCAGCGAGAAACAAUUAUCAGUGACACACUUGAAAAUUUCAUUUAUAUCUUUUAUAAAUAUGCUUUGCAUUUAUUCUAAAAGUAUGGAUGAUGAUGUGUAUCUAGCAUUUUGUCUUCAAAACCAAAAAAAAAUAGAUGACUAAGAAAUUUUGUAUUACUCAGAAUAAGAAGAAUGUAACUGAUUUACAUAUUCUCUUAUUGUUGGAUAUUUAGCUUGUUUGUAAUUUUUUUCAUUAUGAAAAACAUUGCCACAAACAUCCUUCUACACGUGUAUUUAAAAGUAUAAUUAAUAUUGUAUUAAAUAUAUGAAUAUUUU